GGGGCGGGCUCCGGUGUCAGCGACCAAGCCGCAGGUGGCGGCGAGCGCGGGGCUCGGCCCGAGCUCAGGAGAUGGGGAAACUGAGGCACGGAGCUGGACAGUGACUCAGACACCAGGUGAACACUGGCUUUUGAGGGCAGGGUUGGGACUCGUGGGGGCAGCAAUGCCAGCUGGGUCAUCACAGUGAGGAGUGAGCUCUGACUCCCAGGAGGGUACAUAAGGAGCUGCCUGGAGUGGAGCUGAGAGCUCAGGUCUGGGCUCAGCCAGUCCAGAGUGCAAAUCUACUGUCCCUUCCUAGCUGUGUGAUCUUGGCAAGUGACUUCCCCUCUGGGGGAGGGGAGGGCUCAGUUUUCCCAUCUGUGAAGUGGAUCAGAGCUUUCCUGUCAAGACAGGCACUGGACGGGGCCUGCAGGGGUCUCCACAGAGACCAUCAGGAUGUCGUAUUUUGGGGAGCAUUUUUGGGGCGAGAAAAAUCAUGGCUUUGAGGUCCUGUACCACAGCGUGAAGCAGGGGCCCAUCUCCACCAAGGAGCUGGCGGACUUCAUCCGGGAGAGGGCCACCAUCGAGGAGACCUACUCGAAGGCGAUGGCGAAACUCUCCAAGCUGGCCAGCAACGGGACCCCCAUGGGCAGGGCUCAGCGUGCAGCACAUACCUGAGCCAGUGCCAGCGCUGUCCCGGGGUGGGGUGAGCCUGAUGAACCCUGGGUGUGACCUUGCCCGCCCCCAGGACCUUCGCCCCGCUCUGGGAGGUCUUCCGCGUCUCCUCGGACAAGCUGGCGCUGUGCCACCUGGAACUGACACGGAAGUUACAGGAUCUCAUCAAGGACGUUCUCCGCUACGGCGAGGAACAGCUCAAGACCCACAAGAAGUGCAAGGAGGAAGUGGUGAGCACCUUGGAUGCUGUGCAGGUACUCUCGGGCGUCAGCCAGCUCCUGCCCAAGUCCCGCGAGAACUACCUGAACCGUUGCAUGGACCAGGAGCGGCUGCGGAGGGAGAGUACCAGCCAGAAGGAGAUGGACAAGGCGGAGACUAAAACCAAGAAGGCGGCAGAGAGCCUGCGGCGCUCAGUGGAAAAAUACAACUCAGCCCGAGCUGACUUUGAGCAGAAGAUGCUGGACUCAGCCCUGCGCUUCCAAGCCAUGGAGGAGACACACCUGAGGCACAUGAAGGCACUGCUGGGCUCAUAUGCUCACUCGGUGGAGGACACGCACGUGCAGAUUGGGCAGGUGCAUGAGGAAUUUAAGCAGAACAUCGAGAACGUCAGCGUGGAGAUGCUACUCAGGAAGUUUGCAGAGAGUAAGGGCACAGGCCGGGAGAAGCCUGGACCUCUGGACUUCGAGGCAUACAGUGCGGCUGCCCUGCAGGAAGCGAUGAAACGUUUGCGGGGAGCCAAGGCCUUUCGCCUUCCAGGACUAAGCCGGCGGGAGCGGGAGCCAGAGCCACCUGCAGCUGUAGAUUUCCUGGAGCCCGAUUCAGGGACAUGUCCAGAGGUGGAUGAAGAAGGUUUCACUGUCCGGCCUGAUGUGACCCAGAACAGCACGGCCGAGCCCUCCCGUUUCUCGUCCAGCGACUCCGACUUCGACGAUGAAGAGCCCCGCAAGUUCUAUGUGCACAUCAAGCCUGCCCCGGCCCGGGCUCCAGCCUGCAGCCCCGAGGCAGCAGCGGCACAGCUCAGGGCCACCGCGGGCAGCCUCAUCCUUCCUCCUGGCCCAGGGGGCACCAUGAAACGCCAUUCUUCACGGGACGCUGCUGGGAAACCCCAGAGACCUCGGUCUGCCCCCAGAACCAGCAGCUGUGCAGAGAGAUUGCAGUCAGAGGAGCAGGUGUCCAAGAACCUCUUUGGGCCGCCCCUGGAGUCAGCCUUUGACCACGAAGAUUUUACAGGCUCUAGCAGCCUGGGCUUCACCUCCAGCCCCUCCCCUUUCUCCUCCUCGUCGCCCGAAAACGUGGAGGAUUCCGGCCUGGACUCUCCGUCCCACGCGGCACCUGGCCCCUCCCCAGAUUCCUGGGUCCCCCGCCCAGGCACCCCGCAGAGCCCGCCCAGCUGUAGGGCGCCACCCCCAGAGGCCAGGGGUAUCCGGGCACCGCCUCUGCCAGACUCGCCGCAGCCCCUCGCCUCGUCUCCAGGCCCCUGGGGGCUGGAGGCCUUGGCCGGAGGAGACCUGAUGCCUGCACCUGCUGACCCCACAGCCAGGGAGGGCCUGGCAGCCCCACCCAGGAGACUUCGCUCUAGGAAGGUGUCCUGCCCUCUCACACGUAGCAAUGGGGACCUGUCUCGUUCCCUGAGCCCCUCCCCACUGGGCUCUUCAGCCGCCAGCACUGCCUUGGAACGGCCCAGCUUCUUAUCCCAGACAGGACACGGAGUCUCCCGGGGUCCGAGCCCUGUGGUCCUGGGCUCCCAGGAUGCCCUGCCCAUAGCCACAGCCUUCACAGAGUAUGUCCACGCCUACUUCCGUGGCCACAGCCCCAGCUGCCUGGCUCGAGUAACUGGGGAGCUGACCAUGACCUUCCCUGCUGGCAUCGUGCGUGUGUUCAGCGGGACCCCACCACCACCUGUCCUCAGCUUCCGGCUUGUACACACAACCGCUAUUGAGCACUUCCAGCCCAACGCCGAUCUGCUGUUCAGUGACCCCUCCCAGAGUGACCCUGAGACCAAAGACUUCUGGCUCAACAUGGCAGCUCUGACCGAAGCCCUGCAGCGCCAGGCAGAGCAGAACCCCACUGCCUCCUACUACAACGUGGUGCUGCUGCGAUACCAGUUCUCCCGCCCGGGUCCCCAGUCUGUGCCUCUGCAGCUCAGUGCCCACUGGCAGUGUGGAGCCACCCUCACCCAGGUCUCAGUGGAGUACGGCUACCGGCCCGGUGCCACGGCUGUGCCCACACCACUCACGAACGUCCAGAUCCUGCUGCCUGUGGGGGAGCCUGUGACCAACGUCCGCUUGCAGCCGGCUGCCACCUGGAACCUGGAGGAGAAGCGGCUCACUUGGAGGCUUCCAGAUGUGUCCGAGGCAGGCGGUUCUGGCCGCCUCUCUGCCAGCUGGGAGCCGCUCUCAGGGCCCAGCACACCCAGCCCCGUGGCUGCACAGUUCACCAGCGAGGGGACCACUCUGUCGGGCGUGGACUUGGAACUGGUGGGCAGCGGUUACCGCAUGUCGCUGGUGAAGAGGAGGUUUGCCACAGGGAUGUACCUGGUGAGCUGCUGAACCCGCAAAUGCUGCUGCCCCAGCUCUACACUGCGCCCUGGUGCUGGCUGACCACCCCCUGCCCUCCUGCCGGACCCUGGGGCCUCCCACCCCAGCCUCCCUGAGGCCCAUACUCCACGGAGAGGAGCCCCAUGCCCAGCCUGGCUGAGCCCGAGAUUCGCUCCUCCCCCUCAUGCCAACCCCACACAGGUCCCGGCCUUUUAAUGUUCUUUGAAUAAACACUUUAUUUUCUAAUAAAAUAAAAAAGGAAACCUU